rnacentral:rRNA from 1 species
CUUGGCGGCCAUAGCAUUGUGGACCCACCUGAUCCCAUUCCGAACUCAGUAGUGAAACGCAAUCGCGCCGAUGGUAGUGUGGGGUUUCCCCAUGCGAGAGUAGGUCACCGCCAGGC